AGAGUUGAUCAUGGCUCAGGAUGAACGCUAGCUACAGGCUUAACACAUGCAAGUCGAGGGGCAGCAUGGUCUUAGCUUGCUAAGGCUGAUGGCGACCGGCGCACGGGUGAGUAACACGUAUCCAACCUGCCGUCUACUCUUGGCCAGCCUUCUGAAAGGAAGAUUAAUCCAGGAUGGGAUCAUGAGUUCACAUGUCCGCAUGAUUAAAGGUAUUUUCCGGUAGACGAUGGGGAUGCGUUCCAUUAGAUAGUAGGCGGGGUAACGGCCCACCUAGUCAACGAUGGAUAGGGGUUCUGAGAGGAAGGUCCCCCACAUUGGAACUGAGACACGGUCCAAACUCCUACGGGAGGCAGCA
rnacentral:rRNA from 1 species